AGGGUUGACCGGCCACACUCGGAACUGAGACACGGCCCAGACUCCUUACGGGAGCAGCAGUGGGGAAUAUUGCACAAUGGGCGAAAGCCUGAUGCAGCAACGCCGCGUGAGGGAUGACCGGCCUUUCGGGUUGUAAACCUCUUUUAGUAGGGAAGAAGCGAAAGUGACGGUACCUGCAGAAAAGCACCGGGCUAACUACGUGCCAGCAGCCGCGGUAAUACGUAGGGUGCAAGCGUUGUCCGGAAUUAUUGGGCGUAAAGAGCUCGUAGGCGGUUUGUCGCGUCUGCUGUGAAAUCCCGAGGCUCAACCUCGGGCUUGCAGUGGGUACGGGCAGACUAGAGUGCGGUAGGGGAGAUUGGAAUUCCUGGUGUAGCGGUGGAAUGCGCAGAUAUCAGGAGGAACACCGAUGGCGAAGGCAGAUCUCUGGGCCGUAACUGACGCUGAGGAGCGAAAGCGUGGGGAGCGAACAGGAUUAGAUACCCUGGUAGUCCACGCCGUAAACGUUGGGCGCUAGAUGUAGGGACCUUUCCACGGUUUCUGUGUCGUAGCUAACGCAUUAAGCGCCCCGCCUGGGGAGUACGGCCGCAAGGCUAAAACUCAAAGGAAUUGACGGGGGCCCGCACAAGCGGCGGAGCAUGCGGAUUAAUUCGAUGCAACGCGAAGAACCUUACCAAGGCUUGACAUACACCGGAAACGGCCAGAGAUGGUUGCCCCCUUGUGGUCGGUGUACAGGUGGUGCAUGGUUGUCGUCAGCUCGUGUCGUGAGAUGUUGGGUUAAGUCCCGCAACGAGCGCAACCCUCGUUCUAUGUUGCCAGCGCGUUAUGGCGGGGACUCAUAGGAGACUGCCGGGGUCAACUCGGAGGAAGGUGGGGAUGACGUCAAAUCAUCAUGCCCCUUAUGUCUUGGGCUUCACGCAUGCUACAAUGGCCGGUACAAAGGGCUGCGAUACCGUAAGGUGGAGCGAAUCCCAAAAAGCCGGUCUCAGUUCGGAUUGAGGUCUGCAACUCGACCUCAUGAAGUCGGAGUCGCUAGUAAUCGCAGAUCAGCAACGCUGCGGUGAAUACGUUCCCGGGCCUUGUACACACCGCCCGUCAAGUCAUGAAAGUCGGUAACACCCGAAGCCGGUGGAGCAGUCGGAUCUCGGCUCAGACCUAAGAUUAUUGACGCCCCCGCCA
rnacentral:rRNA from 1 species